CCUACGGGUGGCAGCAGUGGGGAAUAUUGGGCAAUGGGCGCAAGCCUGACCCAGCAACGCCGCGUGAAGGAAGAAGGCUUUCGGGGUGUAAACUUCUUUUAAGAGGGACGAAGCAAGUGACGGUACCUGAGGAAUAAGCCACGGCUAACUACGUGCCAGCAGCCGCGGUAAUACGGAGGUGGCAAGCGUUAUCCGGAUUUACUGGGUGUAAGGGGCGUGUAGGCGGGAAAGCAAGUCAGAUGUGAAAACCAUGGGCUCAACCUGUGGCCUGCAUUUGAAACUGGUUUUCUUGAGUCCUGGAGAGGCAGACGGAAUUCCUAGUGUAGCGGUGAAAUGCGUAGAUAUUAGGAGGAACACCAGUGGCGAAGGCGGUCUGCUGGACAGCAACUGACGCUGAGGCGCGAAAGCGUGGGGAGCAAACAGGAUUAGAUACCCCAGUAGUC
rnacentral:rRNA from 1 species